AAGAUAGUCAGACACAAAGCCAGAUUGGUAGCCAGAGGUUUUGCACAGGUACCAGGUCAAGACUAUCACGAGACCUAUUCACCCACAGUGAGAUAUGAAAGCAUUAGGCUUAUGCUUAAGCUAGCUGCAGAGGAAAAUCUACACAUUAGUCACCAUGAUAUUAAUACAGCUUUUCUGUACGGAUCUCUAGAUGAAUCACUUUAUAUGCUUCCACCUGAUGGCGUACAGGUAAAACAGGGAUUUGUUUGUGCUCUGAAGAAAUCCCUUUAUGGUCUCAAACAAAGUGCACGGUGUUGGCACACAAAACUCACUGAAGUAUUGUUUUCUCUAGGUUUUCAGCAAGGGAAAGCUGAUCCAUGUGUAUUUGUCAAAGAGGAGGGGCAAAAGAAACUGUACUGUUUGUUUUAUGUUGAUGAUUUAUUAUUCUUUUGGAAAGAUGUUGCAAUGUACAAUAGCGCCCUAGCUCAACUGAAAGAGCACUUUGACAUGAAAGAUCUUGGUGAGGUAAACAACUACCUAUCUCUGGAAAUAGAGAGAGAUCAAGAUGGUAACAUUCUAGUACACCAGUCACGGAAAAUUGCUGAUGUGUUAAACAAACUAAAUCUGAUGGAUGCUAACCCUGUAGACACACCGAUGACAACAGGUUAUCAGGUAGAUGACACUGAAGAAGCAUUUUCUGACACUACACUGUACAGGAGUGUGCUAGGCAAGCUAAACUUCAUUGCCAGAUGUUCAAGACCAGACAUUGCUGUUAGCUGUAAUUUGCUAAGCAGACAAGUCAACAAUCCUAGUGUCAAGGAUUGGAAAGCUCUGAAACGCAUAGCGCGGUAUUUGAAAGGCACUAUGCAUUACAGACUGAGAUUUAACAAUCAGAAGUCUGGUGGUCUUGAGAUAUUUGCAGAUGCAAGUUUUGGAAGUGACGCUACAGACAGGAAAAGUACGUCUGGAGUUUGCUACAUGUACAAUCAGAGUCUGUUUGAUUGGUCAUGCAAGAAGCAAACAACAGUUAGCUUAAGUACUUGUGAAGCCGAACUGAAUGCACUGUCUUAUUCACUUAAGGAUUGUGAAUGGUUAGUACAAUUGUGCAAAGAUAUGAAAAUUCCUGUCAAAUGUCCAAUCCAGGUUUACCAGGACAACAAAGCAUGUUUGGCUUUGCUGAAGUCUGAAGGUUGUAAGCAAAGCACAAAGCACUUGCAAUUAAAGUUGCAGCAUGCUAGGGAAUGUAUUCAGAAGGGACUCGUAACGGUGUCCUAUAUGCCAGGUAAUGAAAUUCCUGCUGAUGUAUUGUCCAAGAUUGUAUCAAGGGAUCAACACUGUACCUAUGUGCAGAAGUUGGGUUUGUACUGAUAUUGUACAAACACGCUGCCCAGUGAUGUUCACAGAAAGGGGAGGAUGUUAGUUUCUGCUUUCCUUCACUGUGCAGCUCUGCUUGUCACGAGACAGGUGUUUACAUUCCACAGUCUGUACUGUUGGAGUUUCUCACGGGAAAGGGAGACUGGAUGUGACGUACACUGGUUUCCUGUUUUUCACUGUGUGAUUCUCUCCGAGCUGUCGAGGAGAGAGGAUGCAUUUUCUGCUCCGGCAGAGGCAAGAUGUCUUUCUGUAAUAUACCAGCUUUGAACUGUAAAUAAAGCAAUAUAGAGUAUGUAGCACGUAUUCCUCAUCCUUCCGCUGGGCACCAGACUCUGCUUUAAAUCAACAGGCCUAUCCCCUUGUUAAAUAACGAUUACAAAUUGUUUGCAAAUAUUCUAGCUAACAGAUUAAAAAACAAUAAUGAAUAUAUACAUCAAGAUCAAGCUGGGUUCCUACCAGAGAGACAAAUGAAGGAGAAUAUAAGGCAUAUUUUGAAUAUAAUAGAAUAUUUGGAGGCUAAAAAUGAAAAGAAAGUGGCAAUGAUGUUUAUAGACACUGAAAAAGCCUUCGAUAAUGUUUCUUGGCAGUUCAUGAUAAAGCUGUUAGAACAAAUCAGAAGCGGUCCUAAGUUUUUAAAAGCAAUAGCAGCAAUCUAUUCAGAACAAAAAGCCAAACUAAUUAUAAAUCAGGUGAUAACGGAUGAUUGUAAGAUCCAAAAAAGAACAAGACAAGGAUGUCCGUUAUCACCAUUAUUGUUUAUUCUGGUCUUGGAAGUACUUGCCAAAAACAUAAGAGCAAAUAAAGAGAUUACAGGUGUAAAAACUGGGAAAAGUGAAAAAGUCACUCCGUGGAUCUUGGCUAAUGUCGCUUGUUUGAAUAAUCUGGUGAUAGAAAUGCAAACAACAAGAAGAAGCCGUGUCCUACAACAGUACUUGGGACAAAACUGGUAAAAAAAAGGAAUACAAAAAUGGGCUGUGCUAAAUUAGGCGUUUUACAACCCAAUUCGUAUGUGAGGCAGUUAAGCCAAAGUACCUGGGCUAGAGCCUAAUUGCUCAUAUUUACUUUAAUGGGGCUACACUGAUGACAACCCGAGUGUCGUGUCUCAACUGUCUUGUGACUCAGGCGGCUUAUUAAUACAGAGGAAAGCACUGAGAGAAAGCAGGCAGAAUGAGAAGGUGAGAUUACAGACAAAGACUGUGUGCAGCUCAAAUGAGAGCCGUAAUGAGAGGCACAUCGAACUUAACAAGAUGAUAUUUCAGAACAAAGGCAAGAACAGAGCAUUGUUCCUAAUUACAUUAGCAUAUAAAUGCCCGCACAAAUGAACUUCCUUUGUUUUCCAGUGGCUUUGAAGUGCUAACUAGCCAAGCCAACUUGACACCCGUCAUCCUUCCUGCUCUUCUUUUUAAAAGUAGAUUUGCAUUUUGCUCCCACCACUUCCUCCUGAAUAGGAAUUCUGUAAAACUCAAAAGUUGUACGCUGGGAAAGGAGGGCUGGGCUGGGCUGCGCUGGGCUGCACUGGGGGACCUGUGGGGUGGGGGGACCUGCUUUGUGCCCCCUCAAAAAUCUGCCCCCAGUCACAGCCCCUCUGGCACACACACACCCAUUCGCUCCUGACUGCAACAAGAGGUGGGAAUGCUCUCUUGCUCAUAAAAAUCAAGCUCUCUUCACACCUAUCAACAGAAGUCUAGUGUCCAGAUCAAGGGAAGUAAUAGUACCACUCUAUUCUGCCUUUGUUGGCAGAAACCUUGCCAACAAAGAUCCAUAUAGUUAAAGCCAUGGUUUUCCCUGUAGUGAUGUAUGGAAGUGAGAGCUGGACUAUAAAGAAGGCCGAUCGCAGAAGAAUGGAUGCUUUUGAAUUAUGGUGCUGGAGGAGACUCUUGAGAGUCCCAUGGACUGCAAGAAGAUCAAACGUAUCCAUUCUUAAGGAAAUCAGCCCUGAGUGCUCACUGGAAGGACAGAUCCUGAAGCUGAGGCUCCAGUACUUUGGCCACCUCAUGAGAAGAGAAGAUUCCCUGGAAAAGACCCUGAUGUUGGGAAAGAUGGAGGGCACAAGGAGAAGGGGACGACAGAGGACGAGAUGGUUGGACAGUGUUCUCGAAGCUACAAACAUGAGUUUGACCAAACUGCGGGAGGCAGUUCUGUGAACUGCCUUGAGACCUCCGGGUAUAGGAUGGUAUAUAAAUUCAACAAAUAAAUAAAAAAUAAAUAAUACCUUCCAGAGCACGGGAGGUGGGUGGCACUGUGGGUUAAACCACAGAGCCUAGGACUUGCCAAUCAGAAGGUCGGCGGUUCGAAUCUCCGUGCGAUGGGGUGAGCUCCCAUUGCUCGGUCCCUGCUCCUGCCAACCUAGCAGUUUGAAAGGACAUCAAAGUGCAAGUAGAUAAAUAGGUACCGCUCCUGCGGGAAGGUAAACGGCGUUUCUGUGCGCUGCUCUGGUUUGCCAGAAGCGGCUGAGUCCUGCUGGCCACAUGACCUGGAAGCUGUACGCCAGCUCCCUCGGCCAAUAAAGCGAGAUGAGCACCGCAACCCCAGAGUCGGCCACGACUGGACCUAAUGGUCAGGGGUCCCUUUACCUUUACCUUUACCCUCCAGGGCAGGCAAAGACAAGCUUGCUCCAUCUUCUAUGUGACAGCCCUUCAGUUAUUUGAAGGUGGCUCUCAUAUCUCCUCUCUUCUUCUCUGGGCUAAACAUACCCAGCUUCUUCAAGAGUUCCUCAUAAGCCUUAGUUUCCAGAGCCUUGAUCAUCUUGUUUUUUGUUUUUUUUAAAUGAUAUUUAUUGAGAAUUCUUUUUUAAAUUACAC